rnacentral:rRNA from 1 species
UACAGAGGGUGCGAGCGUUGUUCGGAAUUACUGGGCGUAAAGCGCGCGCAGGCGGCCUUUUAAGUCUGGCGGUGAAAUGCCGGGGCUCAACCCCGUUGCAUGCCGCGGAUACUGGGAGGCUGGAGACGAGUAGAGGCAAGCGGAAUUCCGGGUGUAGCGGUGGAAUGCGUAGAGAUCCGGAGGAACACCGGUGGCGAAGGCGGCAUCCUGGACCGGCAUUGACGCUGAGGCGCGAAAGCCAGGGGAGCAAACGGG